UACGUAGGGGGCAAGCGUUGGCCGGAAUUAUUGGGCGUAAAGAGCUCGUAGGCGGUCUGUCGCGUCUGCUGUGAAAACUCAGGGCUUAACCCUGAGCUUGCAGUGGGUACGGGCAGACUAGAGUGCGGUAGGGGAGACUGGAAUUCCUGGUGUAGCGGUGAAAUGCGCAGAUAUCAGGAGGAACACCGGUGGCGAAGGCGGGUCUCUGGGCCGUAACUGACGCUGAGGAGCGAAAGCAUGGGGAGCGAACAGG
rnacentral:rRNA from 1 species